ensembl:miRNA
UCUCAGGCCGUGACCCUCUACAAGGAAGCACUUCCUGUUGUCAGAAAGAAAAGAAAGUGCAUCCUUGUACAGGGUUACUGUCUGAGA